AUUGAACGCUGGCGGCAUGCCUUACACAUGCAAGUCGAACGGCAGCGGGGGAGAAGCUUGCUUUUCCUGCCGGCGAGUGGCGAACGGGUGAGUAAUACAUCGGAACGUGCCCUGUAGUGGGGGAUAACUAGUCGAAAGAUUAGCUAAUACCGCAUACGACCUGAGGGUGAAAGUGGGGGACCGCAAGGCCUCAUGCUAUAGGAGCGGCCGAUGUCUGAUUAGCUAGUUGGUGGGGUAAAGGCCUACCAAGGCGACGAUCAGUAGCUGGUCUGAGAGGACGCUCAGCCACACUGGGACUGAGACACGGCCCAGACUCCUACGGGGGGCAGCAGUGGGGAAUUUUGGACAAUGGGCGAAAGCCUGAUCCAGCAAUGCCGCGUGUGUGAAGAAGGCCUUCGGGUUGUAAAGCACUUUUGUCCGGAAAGAAAUGGCUCUGGUUAAUACCUGGGGUCGAUGACGGUACCGGAAGAAUAAGGACCGGCUAACUACGUGCCAGCCGCCGCAGUAA
rnacentral:rRNA from 1 species